ensembl:snoRNA SNORD29 Small nucleolar RNA SNORD29
UCUCUGUGAUGAAGAUACUUAGCUCACUUUGAACCAAUGUGAAACUACACGAACACCUGAGAGAU